rnacentral:rRNA from 1 species
UACAGAGGAUGCAAGCGUUAUCCGGAAUUAUUGGGCGUAAAGCGUCUGUAGGUGGCUUUUUAAGUCCGCCGUCAAAUCCCAGGGCUCAACUCUGGACAGGCGGUGGAAACUACCAAGCUGGAGUACGGUAGGGGCAGAGGGAAUUUCCGGUGGAGCGGUGAAAUGCGUAGAGAUCGGAAGGAACAUCAGUGGCGAAAGCGGCUUCCUGGACCAGCACCGACGUUCAGGCACGAAAGCGUGGGGAGCAAACAGG